CAGACGAAAAAUAAAACCUGUAAACAAUUUCUGUCUGUAUUUACUUGUUCAAGUGCCAGUAAAACGAUCGAUAGAAAAAAAAGAAGCAUUCAACUGUUUACCGUUUGACUCCUGUCCCAAUUUAACCUAGUGGGUUCAAAAAGAAAGGACCGCGCUGGAAACAUGAUGCUCUUUUUGAAUUAAUAAUUGAUGUCGUAACCAGCUCGUAUGAAUGGAUUUCUCGAAACAGAAAAAAAAGAAAAAGAUGAAAAAAAUAUUCUGUUGAACAAUACUGAUGCUUUAUUUAAACAUAUAAAAGAUGUAGAAAAUGUUUCCUCUUUUAUAAUGACAUCUAAAAGAGGCUUUUUUCUCGGCAUCGGAAAGAGCUUUUUGUCAUACUUUGU